GAGGGACAGCUGAUGCUGUGCUGCCUGGAGCCAGCAGGUGGCAGACAUGUCCUUUCUAGGCAUGCUUGCUGAAGGAAUCUGAACUGAACUAGGGAGGCUUCUCAGCAGAGCCAAUCUGGCCCUUCAGACAGCCCUCCACCCCCUGCAAGUGCUCCACACUCUAUGACCCUGUUUCCACUCACAGAGAGGCUGUGGUGCCAGACGGAGACAGCCCAACACCUGACUGGUAUCCAGGUUUCCAGAUGCUAACCUCCACUGUGUCAGAAGCAGGAAGAAUGGGAUCAUCUGCCCACCCACUGUAAGCCGGGACCUCCGGGACAUCAAUCAAUAAUCAAGAAAAUGCCCCACAGACCUGUCCACGGGCCAAAUCUGCUGGAGCCAAUUCCUCAUCGAGAGUCUUCCUCACAGGUGACUUUAGUUUAUAUCAAGUUGACAGGACCAGCAUAGAGAAAGAUAGAAGAGUUCCUGGCUCUCAAAGAGGCAGGUUUGGAGUGAGGGGAAAUACCAAAGACCCUGCUAUCGGGACACUUUAUCAAAGUCCUAUCCAGAGGGGGCUAGGGGAAGCGGCCGAGGGAGCCCCAUAGCCACAGUGGCAGAUGGAGGAAGCACAAGAGGGUGUCUCAGCCAGUCCACUGUGGUGAACACAUCUCAAGAAACAUCUUUGCCGAUGAUAAGGAGUGCAAAUCGCUGCCCAUUUCCCCCUUCACCUCCAUUCCUAGUUUAGAACAGCACACAGUCAUAACUGACUCCUGUGUCAGUUUGGGAUUUCUUAAAGGAUUGGGCAUGGCUGCCUCUUAAAAGGGGAGAGGGAAUUUUUAGCCAUGGACUUAGAAAGACUACUCCAGCUCUAAAUGCUGGAGUUGGCUCACAUCCCCUCUCUUCCAGAUGUGUCCCUGUGUGAAGUUGCUGGUUCUGGUUGCGGUUCUGUCUGUAUUCUUUGCAAACGGUUAUGUGGGGUUUCCCAGAGUUGCAUCACCCCAUGUUCCUCCCACCAGUGAGGCAUGAGGUUCCAGCUUCUCAUGUCCUCAACACACUUGUAAUCAUUACAUGUACAGCACAAAACAGAAGAGGUAGUUUAAAGGAGGGAGGGUUUGUUCUUGCUCACAGUUUCAGGGGACACAGUCCAUCAGGGUAGCCAGUGCAUGUUGGCCCUGGUGGCAGGAGCUUGCCACACAGUUUGAUCAUAUCCCAGCAGGAGCUGAGAGUGGAGACAUGGACCGGAAGUAGGGCUGGUGUAUAACCUUCAGUGCCCGCUUUUUGUGGUCUGUAUCAACCAGCAAGAGUCCAUGUCUCAGAUUCUGUUUGUAACCUCAGAAAAUAGUGUCACCUACUGGGGACCAAGUGUUCAAAAAUGAUCCCAUGGGGCUGCGGUGUGCUUCACAGCCAAACCACACUUGUUAUUUUUCAUUUGAAGAAAUUAUAGCCACUGUGAUUGGUACAGAAUACUGUCUCUUUGUUCUUUAGUAGCAAGGAUUCUCAAUUUGGCCCAGAAUGUGCUCAGUGCUGUAUCAGUUGGUAGGCUCAGUGUGGCUGUGCCUUGAUGCUCAGGUGAGGAGAGGCUCUUGUGGGGCGGAUGCCCCAGGAGAAGGUCCUGGCAAACAAUCUCUGCAGAUCAGUUCCUUCUUGGAGACCUCGGGGAAGUGCUUAUAGAGAGGAGCUAGCCCCAGACACCAGGGAAGUGGCUUCUGAAGGACUGCGGGGUGGGGGCAGGAGCUCAGGUCUCCCAGUUCUAACAGACCCCCUGUCCCUGGCUCAGAAGGACUCCAAGCAUUCCCCUGCUACCUGGCCCCAAGUUGUCCUACUUGGGCCCCUGCCUAGUUACCUGACAAUGGCUUCAUGUGACAACAGUGUGUAGAGAUUGGCAGGGUGGGGAGGGGGUCAGGAAGGAAAAGAGAGAUCUCUAGACCUGGAGCACUUCUCCUUUAAAGUCACUGGUUUUCACACUGCAGCGCAUAGGGACCCUGUGGAGAGCUGGGGCCUGCAGGAGCCCAGUGGGCGCAGACACAGAUUCAGUUCCCAAGGACUCAUGCGGAAAGCCUGGCAUGUGGCAGCAUGUACCUGUAACCCCUCUAAGGAAGGAUGGAGCCGGGGGACCCUGGAGCUCACAGGCAGCCAGCUCAGCUGAGGAGGUGAGCCCCAGGCUGAGAGAGAUCCGGGCUCAAAAAUAAGGCGGAAGCUGGGUGUGGUAGAACAUGUCUUUAAUUCUGGUAGAGGCAGGUAGAUCUGAUUUCUAGGCUAGCCUGGGCUAGACUUGGUCUCAAAAAAGAAAAGAUGGAGAGAGACAGAUCAGAGAUAUCUGACACCAGCUUCUGGCCUCCAAUGCAUGCGCACUCAUAUACACACAUACAUAUAUACACUCAUGUACACACGUACACACAUAUACACUCAUGUACACACGUACACACACAGGCAUGUGUACUCAUGUGUACACAUACACACAUGCAUGUACACUCAUGUACACACGUACACACACAUACACUCAUGUACACACGUAUACUCAUGUGUACACAUACACACACAGGCAUGUAUGUAUACACAUACACACAUGCAUGUACACUCAAGCACACACACAAGUAUUAAAAAUAAAUCUUCAAAGUCCAGGUAAAGGUGAGUCUGUGGCGUUUUCUGAAGUGGACUCAGCCCUGACUGAAGUCUAACGACUUAGUUGGCAAGACCGAGCCGUUUCAUGUCAGAAGUGACGCUUCCUGCGCUGAGGAGAAGCCACCAGGAGGAGCCAGCUUCCUCUCUUGGUGGAGGCCCCGGUGUAAGCAGGAUGCAGAGGCCGCACUCUAGCCUGGCACCUGUGGUUCCACAUCCGCCAGCCUGGAGUGACCACCCACGUCACCAUGGCUACAAGCACAGCAACUGGCUUUGGACAGGUGGGUCUGAGUCCAGCUCGCUGGCCUGCCGUGGGCGCCGUCUUGGACGGGUUAUCCUGUCUAUGUAGCCUGCCUUGUCGUCUGUGAAAGCAGAGUGAUGCUGGCCUGCCUCACAGGCUUGUCGGGAAGUGUGAACCACAAGAAAUGUGUGGUAAAAGUCAGUGCAUGGCCGGUUGAACUAUGAUGAGACAUCCUUGUCAAUGGAUUAAUUGUAUUGCUACUAUUUUCAAAUUGCUUGGUGAACAGGGUGUGGGGGGAGGGGCAC